ACAUUUCUAGCUUGCUAGAAGAUGACGAGUGGCGGACGGGUGAGUAAUGCUUGGGAACUUGCCUUUGCGAGGGGGAUAACAGUUGGAAACGGCUGCUAAUACCGCAUAAUGUCUUCGGACCAAACGGGGCUUCGGCUCCGGCGCAAAGAGAGGCCCAAGUGAGAUUAGCUAGUUGGUAAGGUAACGGCUUACCAAGGCGACGAUCUCUAGCUGUUCUGAGAGGAAGAUCAGCCACACUGGGACUGAGACACGGCCCAGACUCCUACGGGAGGCAGCAGUGGGGAAUAUUGCACAAUGGGGGAAACCCUGAUGCAGCCAUGCCGCGUGUGUGAAGAAGGCCUUCGGGUUGUAAAGCACUUUCAGUUGUGAGGAAAAGUUAGUAGUUAAUACCUGCUAGCCGUGACGUUAACAACAGAAGAAGCACCGGCUAACUCCGUGCCAGCAGCCGCGGUAAUACGGAGGGUGCGAGCGUUAAUCGGAAUUACUGGGCGUAAAGCGCACGCAGGCGGUUUGUUAAGCUAGAUGUGAAAGCCCCGGGCUCAACCUGGGAUGGUCAUUUAGAACUGGCAGACUAGAGUCUUGGAGAGGGGAGUGGAAUUCCAGGUGUAGCGGUGAGAUGCGUAGAUAUCUGGAGGAACAUCAGUGGCGAAGGCGACUCCCUGGCCAAAGACUGACGCUCAUGUGCGAAAGUGUGGGUAGCGAACAGGAUUAGAUACCCUGGUAGUCCACACCGUAACGCUGUCUACUAGCUGUGUGUGCC
rnacentral:rRNA from 1 species